ensembl:lncRNA
GAAAAUCAGUGGUGUUAUGUUUAAAAUGUUAAAAAGAGCUCAGCUGGAGGGUACUGAAAAUCUUGUUGCUGAAACCUUCUUAAAAAACACUUUUUUUUUAAAGGUUACUUUUAUCAUUUUGUAUUAGCAGAAACACCCAUGUCAUACUGCUAAAGUAUAUAUCCAAUAUGUUAUAUUGAAGACACCCUUCCAAAACACCACUUAUACACACAUCUUAAACGCGUGUUAAUACCAUUAAUACAUAGAGUUACUUAAUCACUUAAUCAUGAAAACAAUGGAAAUCACUGAUACAAAUGUUGAGCCAAAACUGAAAGUGGACUUAAAAGGGUAAUUGCAAUUGUUGCUAACUAUAAGUAAUAAUGAAUGGAACAGGUGUUGGCUAUGGUCCCAUGAUUCCUUAGGAUAUAUAAAGAACCUGCAUUACCCUGUGUAACACACAACAAAAUGGACAAUGUAACCAUUAAUGUGUUAGACAGCAAAGGCAAUGUUGUCAUGCUAACGGUUUCCAAGGACAUCGCUGAAAGGAUGCAAAAUGGUAAGUAAACCACAUGACUGUGAAAUAAUUACAAGUCACCAAUGAUUUGUGCAAGUUUUUUAUUUAUCACUUAUUCCCCCAGAUCAAAUGUUCCUUUCCUCUGUCAUGGAGAAAGUAUCAGCUGUUGAAACAAAAGGUACACAUUUACUUAAUGAACCAGAAUAUACAGGAAAUAAGUCUUGAGUGAAACUGACCACAUCUACAAUCUUCUCUCCAAACAGCUCUCCUCAGUGGCCCAGCUUGUGCUGCAAAGCUUUUCCAACCUCCUAUUCCAUGUCCCACUACCUCCACUAGGUCGCUGACACCCCUAAACCUCAGUUUUGUGAAACCACCAUCCACCAGCCAGUGCCCCAUUACUACCACUAGGCCCCCUGUACCACCUCCACCAUCCACCAGCCAGUGCCCCAUUUCUACCACUAAGCCCCCUGUACCACCUCCACCAUCCACCAGCCAGUGCCCCAUUUCUACCACUAAGCCCCCUGUACCACCUCCACCAUCCACCAGCCAGUGCCCCAUUACUACCACUAGGCCCCCUGUACCACCUCCACCAUCCACCAGCCAGUGCCCCAUUUCUACCACUAAGCCCCCUGUACCACCUCCACCAUCCACCAGCCAGUGCCCCAUUACUACCACUAAGCCCCCUUUACUACUUACCUCCACUGUCAAGGACCCACCACCUUCCACUCUGCAAUCUGGUGCAGCGUGUGGAAACCCUUCAGCAUCCAUUCAACCUUCAUCCCCUUCCUUCCAGUCAGACAGGCACGAGUCUCAAGAAAUAACACAUACAAUGACACUAUUUCUACUGGACCUUACAAAAACUCAUCAGCACCUUUAUUUUCGGAACAAAAUGGCAUUCUAUAAAAAAAUACAAAACUUAUUUUCACUAAAGGGCUACAACUUGUCAAGUGAGAAAAUUCGAAAAAAACUAGCAAACAUGUUAACUACUUAUAAGAGAGUGAAAGACCGGCGUCGUGCCACUGGGGAAGGGAAGAUCACCUGGGAGUACUAUACAGUAAGUUGA